rnacentral:ribozyme from 1 species
AAACAAUUCGAUACUUUGGAGAGGGAGGGGGGAGGUACUUUUUACCCUUCGGUCAAAGCGAGGGACCAACCGAGAAGUAGAAGAAAGCGAAGAAAU